GACGAACGCUGGCGGCGCGCUUAACACAUGCCAGUCGAACGGAAAGGCCUGCUUUCCCUUGUGGAUUGCGGGUACUCGAGUGGCGAACGGGUGAGUAACACGUGAGUGAUCUGCCCCCAACUUGGGUAUAAGCCUGGGAAACUGGGUCUAAUUCCCGAUAGGACUGCAGGGUGGUGCCUGUGGUGGAAAACGAUUUUCUAGUGGUUGGGGAUGAGCUCGCGGCCUAUCAGCUUGUUGGUGGGGUAAUGGCCUACCAAGGCGGCGACGGGUAGCCGGCCUGGGAGGGUGGACGGCGACAUUGGGACUGGGAUACGGCCCAGACGCCUACGGGAGGCAGCAGUGGGGAAUAUUGCACAAUGGGCGGAAGCCUGAUGCAGCGACGCCGCGUGGAGGAUGACGGCCUUCGGGUUGUAAACUCCUUUCGACCGCGAGGAAGCCACCUGGUUGGAAGGGUGGUGACGGUAGUGGUAGAAGAAGCACCGGCUAACUACGUG
rnacentral:rRNA from 1 species